AAUCUCCUCACACCUGACUCUCCAUCCCCCUCACCCCUGACCUCUGACCUCUGACCCCCUCACCCCACCACCACCUCCCCCUUGCAUGUCACUGCUGUGGGCGCAGCAUGAAGCGAGCCAGCUCUCUGGGCGUUCUUAACGUGGCGGACAAGGCUGCGAGUGACCACUACCAAGAACGAAAUAAUCGUCUGAGAAAGAGUCGCGACCUGAGCGCCAGCCACACUGACCUGGCGCAUUGAAGGUUUUUUCCCGCCUGAACCCGAGGUGACGAUGAGCAGGAGCAGGAGAAUCGACCCUCCUCACUGUAAACUUCUGUGUGUGGACACUUUUAAUCUCUACAUUAUACUCACCGUUCAACCACCAAGUGCUCACUGUACAGGUUCCAUGCACUUUUGAAGGUUUGUGCUCUUAGAGGGGGUCAGCUGUGUUUUUAAAUCUUUACAUAUCGAGGAGCAAGAGAAUAUAUGAACAUACAGAGACCUGCUGUAUGUUUGUGACAUGAGUGUGUAUAUCUUUCCCCUGUAUAUCUUUUUAUAUGUGCUUGUACUGUACGUAGGAGUGAGCUAGUGUCAGAUCAGUCCUUUAUAAUAUUUAAUGCUAUGCUACGGCUUAAAUGAAGGCAAGUGCAGAGUGGAGUUUGAGUUUUACAAACACGUGUGUGGUGGAUGCAGAAAUGAUCUCAUUCAGUUAAGAUGUUGGAGGUGAAGACCAUUGACUGUAUGUAAACAUGGAGUGUCUCCAUCUCCCCCUAUGGCACAAAAGUGAAGCCAAAAUACUGCUGCAAUGUGGCGACGUAUUUCAGAGCCAUGGCAUAACGAUGUAUCUUGAUCACGCCCACGCUCACUCAUGAAUUCAUGAAGAAGAAGGAAAUCAAACCAACUGGAUAUUUUUGUCAGAGGCUCCAAAAAGUACAGAGACACAUAAAGGUAACGUGUGGUGAUGAAGUGGGCAACGUUUUGGACAACUUUAGAGGCAACACCUCCAGCAACAGGCAACAAAGUCACUGUAUGUGAUGAAAGGGUUUUGAAUUAAAAUAAAGGAAGUCCAAAAUAAUUUAAAUUUUUAAAACAAUGAUUAUUUACGGCUGAAUUUCUCUGGCUUUUAUUUUGGUAUUUAAAUAGGAAGGAGAAUUGUUAUUGGAAAGCAUUUAACUUUGAGUUAAGUUUCCAUGUAAAGUGUUGGGUGAUGUCAGAAGAAGAGAUACAGUUUGUCCUCUUAGUGUUUGAAGUUGCACUACUUUAAUGAAGUUUCUUGUUUGGGGUAAAACUGUUAAUUUUAGAGAUAAUUGGAGAGCGAUUCAGCCAAAGUCUCUUAUUUCUCCAUAUAUGAAAGUGUGUGUUAUGUUGUGUACAGUUUUCUGCAACGAGGUGUUCCUGCAUGUUUGAGGUUUUGUCAUGGACACUGAUGCCGGAUGUGAGAUGCUCAAACUGUAGUCCCUGAUGCUGGUUAUUAGAGAAGGAAAAACUGAGAAUCUUCUGACCAGAUUAUUAUUUACUAUUUUUGUAGCUUUCGUCUCUCACAAUUGCACAAACCAAAACUACGUCUUCACCCACUCAUCUUUAACUUAAUCAAUGAGCCAGUUCUGCAUCUGCAUUGUUUUAAAUCUUCCAACUCUGCCUUCAAACUGUCCAGUGAUGACGUCUUUUCAUAGGCUGACCUGGACGUUAGCUUAGCUUGGCGUUCACUCAGCAGAUUUCCAUAAAAGUUCUGAACAAGGCUUUGAGUUUUUGAAAAUGACGUCCUCAGGAUAGCAAAAAAAUGGACUUAAUGCUAACUUUUCUGUUUGAAACUUUGAGCAGAUUGUGAGACAGUUUAUUACCUUUAAAUCUGCUUUUAUUUAUAACCAAGCUUUGAGAUUAGAAGCACUGGAAACCUGCUGAGAGAACCAACAAACGCUCUGUGAGACUCGUCCCAAACGUUCCGUCCUGCGUUGGAUGAAGAUUUUUCUGAUGUAUGAAGUUUUACGUUUACAUUUUGGAGUUUUUGUAAAUGAUGUUUGAUUUGUUUCCGUCCUUUUUGCUGCUCUCUGUAUAUCUGUCUGUACAAAGCCUUGACAUCAGCAGCGCUGACUGAUGAUGCGACAGAGCGAUCAUUUAUUUGGCACAUAAAGACCGAGCGACACACUCAGGUUUCAGGCUUGUAGUUUCACACACUGACUGCAAAGUGUCACCACUCCACACUUUAACUCAUUAAAGCCAUCUUCAUCCUCAGUGGCCUUAGAGACGUUACACAGUUUGUGUUAACUUGUUAGACAAAACUUUACCAUGAGAGUAAAGUCGAACAAAUCCAACCAAAAACACAAAUUAUCGAUUGUUUUAAGAUCGUUAUUUUCAUGCAAAGAUUAUUCCUGAGAUUUAUCUUACAAAUGUAAAAAAUAUAUUUUCUAUCAUAGAAAAAAAAAGGAGUAUUCCUCUUAGAGCUAGUUAUGAAAUACAGAUAUUAUAAUAAAAAAACAUACUUCUUUACCAAUAAUCAUUUUUUAAUUAAACUGGAAUAAAUGUACUGAUCUCAGAAAAAUAGGAUUUAAUCAAAGAAUAAAAAUGUUUCCACCUUACUGCAGCUGGAUGAAACACCAGAAGACAAACAGUGUAAAUACUGAAGCAUGACUACAAAUAUGAUGUUAUGAUUUUAAACAUUAUCUUUCUUUGUGUUAAAAUAAAAGUUUUAAAAUGGACCUAAGUUUAAAGUUGUUAAUGAGAUUAAUUUAGGUUAAAUGAAAGUUUCUAUGCAUAAAUAAUAUUUUUAAAAGGGAAUGUAGUCAUUUAUCUUUUUUCCUUGUGAUAAGCUUGAACUUUUAUAUUCAACAGGAUAACAAUCAGAACCAGGGAUGAUCUGAAGUGACUUCUUUCGUUGUGUAAUCUUAAAUCUAAUUUCUGACUAAAUGAUGAGUUGAAAGGUCAGAGAGCACUUUGACAAAAAGUCAAACAUGAGCACAAUUUAUCCAACAUGACUGAACACGGGAUCACAAAGGCUGUUUUCGAAACCGCCGACUAUACUAGCAGUACGUACUGAUUUGGUCUAAAUUCAGUAAGUAGUAUGUGAGCAAGAGCAAAAUCUGCAGUAUACCAAAACUCCCUGGAUGUCUACGGAUUUGUGAAAAUUUCACAGUAUGCAUCAGACCAGUCUGCCUCACGUACUGUUUCCCAUAAUGCAAAGCGCUCAUUCCGCUUUUUCUUUUCUCUUCUUUUUUGACCGGGCGAACUCAGUUUUUAGGUGCUGUGAAAAUGAUUUAAUAACAUAUAAACCACUUCUUAACUUUUUAAAUCAUAAGUGAUGCUAAAGAAGCAGUUUCUCUAUCAGCUUGAUCGUUGUUUACUUCUGCAUUCUGAAACCGGAAAUCCAGUGAUGUCUGAUCCAGCAUCCUGCAACACAGAUCCAACAGAACAGUCAGACUACAGACUAAAUUCAAACACAGUAUGUAGCAGGCCGUUUCGAUAACAGCCGAAGUCUGCGGGUUAACCAUGUUGAAUUGGUUUGCCAAGUGUGGCUACCAUUAGCAGAGCUAGCACCACCAGCUUUGUUUCUCCUGGCAGGCCAAUGUCCACGUCUGUCAAAAUACCGACAAACCACGCCCUCAUAUUUGUUUUGGAAUGUGCAAUGAGCUUAAAAUUGAUUGUAGUCUCUUUUUUUUUAUGUCUUUCUGUCUUGAUUCUAAUUAAUCAACCAACCAAAAAAGAGUUUAUAUUCAAAAACAUUCAAAGAAUCAUCUCCCAAUAAGUGUACACGAUAUGAUCACGAAGCCCUGAGAUGAUUUGAUAACUUAAAUAACAUUCAUGAUUGUUCCCUCUGUGCCUGGACUGAUUUUUCAAACUCUUGCAUGUCUUUUAUUUUCUCUCUUCUCUGCAUCGCAUUGAUUUGAUCUGCUCUUUGUGGAGUGUGUUGAAGUUGUCCGCUGACUGUUGAUCAGUCUGCUCAUCAACUUGUUUUGUGCUUUUGAAAAAUAAAAAUUGUCAGAGGCUCCAAAAAAGUACCGAGGCACAUAAAGGUAACGUGUGGUGAUGAAGUGGGCAACAUUUUGGACAACUUUAGAGGCAACACCUCCAGCAACAGGCAACAAAGUCACUGUAUGUGAUGAAAGGGUUUUGAAUGAACGUACAGGAAGUCCAAAAUAAUUUAAAAUUUAAAAACAAUGAUUAUUUACGGCUGAAUUUCUCUGGCUUUUAUUUUGGUAUUUAAAUAGGAAGGAGAAUUGUUAUUGGAAAGCAUUUAACUUUGAGUUAAGUUUCCACUUUAUGUGUUGGAUGGUGAUUUAAUGGAGUUAAUUCUGAUUAAGUUGUCUUAAUAAGAGAUACAGUUUGUCCUCUUAGUGUUUGAAGUUGCACUACUUUAAUGAAGUUUCUUGUUUGGGGUAAAACUGUUAAUUUUAGAGAUAAUUGGAGAGCGAUUCAGCCAAAGUCUCUUAUUUCUCCAUAUAUGAAAGUGUGUGUUAUGUUGUGUACAGUUUUCUGCAACGAGGUGUUCCUGCAUGUUUGAGGUUUUGUCAUGGACACUGAUGCCGGAUGUGAGAUGCUCAAACUGUAGUCCCUGAUGCUGGUUAUUAGAGAAGGAAAAACUGAGACUCUUAUGACCAGAUUGUUGUUUACUAUUUUUGUAGGACUUAUGAUGACGUAAAUGUAAUAUUUUGGAUUUAUGGAAGUGCAGACAGAGAAGGAGAGACUUUGAUUCUUGUUAAAUCAUUGAAAGUUAAAGUUUCAGAGUUCAUCUUUUUGCAGCAGUUUCUAUUCUUACAUUUAAAUAUUAGGCUGUUAUGGAGCGAUGACGUGUUUCCAUAAAAUGUAUAAAACACAAAUGUUUACUAUAACUUUUCCCUUUUGUUUUUUACAAUAUGACACCAGUCCCUUUAUCACAUAUCAGGGGAAACUGAAGCAGCAUUGAUUGAACUUUUCCUCUUGAGCUAAUUGAAUCUAAGACACAUUGUAGUCUUAUAUUAUAUAAUCAGGGUGGUUGAAUGUAAUACUGCUGUACAUUGGUAGAAAUUUGAGGUAUUUUUUCUCAAUUAUUUGACUCAGGUACCUUCUUCAAUUGGACAACAGCUCUAUUUUACUUUCAACAGAGUCGUUUCACAGAUCGGUAUCAGUUCUUCUGAAACUUUUAUUUUGCAGGUUAAUUAAUUAAACAAGAUUGAUUGAUGACAUUGAUUGACAAGAUUGAUCAUCAGGCUCUGCACCCAUGCUUUUAUUUUGUGUCUUUAUAUUGCUCUAAUGACUUCAAGCUCCCUACAAGGCAGCAUUACAGCCCUUCAUUAAAAACAACACAAGAGAGAGGAAUCCUGGAUGAAACUGGCAUUUCUGUGAUACUACUUGUACUCUGUGACUGCUGCUGUCCCUGACAUGUACGCUUUGUUCAACUACACCUCCUCUCUACCUGAGCAAUAGUGAUGUUUGUCCUGCAAAUUAUUGUACAGCCUACUUGUAUUUGAAUAAAAUGUCCAAAUUCA